UCUCGAUAGCGUGAAAGUUAACUCAAAUCUGUAUAGAGUUGGAACAUUUGCCUAUGUUUGCCGCUAGGGGCGCUGUUCCAAUUACAUACACAUUUUAGUUAACUUUUUCGCUAUCGA
rnacentral:pre_miRNA from 9 species